UGUUAAAAAUUUCAUCCAUUUCUGCUGUUAAAAACAAGUGUGACUAAUAAAAUAACCAAACAAUUACGCAUGGCGUGCUACAUGUACCUCACGCCAACAUAUAGUGAGACCAGUGUUUAACUAUAGAAAUUGAUUAAAUUUUUAACA
rfam:Gossypium arboreum cultivar AKA8401 contig_5753_1, whole genome shotgun sequence.